CAGGUGGUGUUUAGCCGGCACUGCAGUCCCUCUGACAUCAAGGAGCUGCUUUAUUCCUCCACCAACAUUCCCAGGAACACUGCCAUUAUGAUGGUGGACCCAGAAGGAGCCUUAGUCUCCAUCGAUCCCACCAUGCCCACAAACUCUCCAAACUUCUUGUAUAAAGUCGUCCCUUUGUCCAGCAACCAGCUUGGAGAGAAGGAGGACGUGUU